UUGUAGGUUGUUCUUUUUUAUUACUAUAAUUUUAUUUUAUUUUAGCUCACUGAAUUCAAGCUAUGGAUGAAUAAUGAAACAUAAUACAACUUCCAAAUAAUAACAAUAAUGAUAAAAAUAAAAACUAUGUGGGAGAAGUGGAGAACAAAACUGUUCAGUAGAAAUGAACGAGCAGCAGAUUGGAAGUAUGAACAAACCUGUCCAAUGUCAUAGCAUGCCAAAUUCGUGAAGAUGACAGAUGGCAGAAUUUUCUUUUACUGCACUCUACAGAAAUACACAAUAAAGCAAAGUGCACCUCCUUUUCCUCCAUCCUCUAGCAGGUCAUUAUUAGAUUUCUUGAGAUGUAAUACUCGUCCUCCCUUGUUUUUCCAUGACUUAUUUUAUUUUAGCAUCAUUUACCUUAUUUUUUGCAUUUCUUUUUUCCCAUCUUUUAAUGUCAGAAUAGCAAUGUUUUGUUUCUGUUCCAUGUGAUUAGAGCCUUUUAUUUUAUAUUUUAAAAUAAUUAAAAAAAAAAAAAAAAAAAAAAGUUAGCUUUUACAUGAAAAUUUUCCUCAAAAUUGUGAAUGUUAACAUCUAAGAGGAAAUUAAUAUGGCAUUUUCAUAUUUCAGAGGCUGCAGAUCCUCUUUGGCAAUAACUACCCUUGGGACAUCCCUACAUUGCCAAUCUUUUAUUAUCUUUCCUCUCAGAUGUUAUUACUCGUAUGCAUUUAAUAAAACUCACUUGUGUGGUGAUGCUGUUUCUCUCGCCAUCACAGAGCUCCCCUGAAGGGACAGACAGGGAAUGGCUACCUUAAUGAGCAAAAUACUUCCUGCAACAUUCACAGUCACUGGAAGAUGAUUCCUGAUACUACUAAACAGAGCAGCUCCAGAUAUGGGUUUGGAUUAUGACAUUUAUCAACCUCCAAAGUUACUCUUUGGCAUGCAAACAGUACAAGUUAGAGACUGUUCUUAUUCAUCAGUGAAAGUCAUGUUUUAAAAGCUAAGAAAUUGUUGCAAUGUGGAUGAGAGCCAUUUCAUGACAUUCAGUCAUCAAGGAGUGGACCAAAACCUCUUUAUCUAUGCCUAAUGUAUUAAGAACAGUUCUGGAGUACCUCCACCUUGAAAACCAUGGGAUAUACCCACAAACACACUAAGCUGCUUUUUCUGCUGAGACUAAAGGCUCUUUGGAACUGGAAUUGCUUCUUUCUUCAGGUUUCCACAGUGUCAUCUGGUAAGACUUUAAUCUGGCCUGAAUUCUCCGAAUUCUGGUGUAAUACGUGAAUACUUCAUCAUGGAACUCAUUCUGUCCAGAAUAUCAGUGUCCAGACUAUUUUGAGCGUCUGAAUAUAAUUGGCCAGCGCUUUAAUAUUCAAUGACAUAACUUCAUUGCGGUUUUGACAACACUAUAUAGGAGUUGUGCUUACCAUUGAAAAUUAAAGCCACUGAAAGAGUUGACAACAGCAGAAUUGUGAAUGCUUCCAGGCUCCUGAAGUGAUUGUUAUUCCAGUUUGUCUAGAAGUGCUUAUUGUGUUUGUAAUACCGUCAGUUCCACUUAAGGGCUACUUGAAGUCAAUGCAAUACGGGCCAGGGGUGAUCAUGAAUCCUUUCCUAUGCUUUGGAAUUAUUUGGAUGAUCCACGUGAACAAAAGCAGAUAUUGCAUAACAGAGGAACACAAGGCCCAUUCUGCUGGCUCAGAAUGGGAGCUAAUGGAUUCAGUGUCCUGUCUCCAUGAAAAGAGACCUGCCUAACACAAAGAAGAAUCACAGGCAUCAACAACAGACAGAAAAUAAUUGUGAAUAAAAAAGACACACAAACAAAUAAACAAACAUCCAAAUUCAAAAAAGCUGUUAUGGGUUACUGAAUAACCUGUCCCCAGGAAAAUUAUUUCUUAAGGUCUGAAGGAGGGUAGUUAAAUGCUUAUUAUAAUUCUUCGUAUUCCUGUUAGUUGAGUAUCUGUCAGCCUUUGAGUUAUGAUAUCUUCUAGGAGAAACAGGCUAUCCAGCUCAUGGCCUUAAUAUUUCUAAUUUUAUUUUUUACUUCUGGUCCUCUUACUCUUUUGCUUAAGAAGCCACUAUCUUGUUACCUGCUGCACAUGAUCUCCAUGCCAAGAUUUUGUUUUCCCAAACAUUGAAUUAUUUCUGCACAAGUACAGCAUCUGAAAUGGUCUUCAGGCAUGAAAAUACUUGCAAUUCUCCAGCCACAGAUAACUCAAAUAAUGAGAUUUGAAAACAUUUUAUGGACAAAAAAAUAAACCUUAAACUAUUCAGCUCAGAAAGUGAGACGUGUUUCAGCCUAGAGAAACUUGUCCCAUGCCAAAAGUUUUUUUAAACUUUUAAAGGUGCUAAGGCUACGCUGUAAGGGUCUUAGCUGAAGUUUAACCAGACAAUACUCUCAUGAGAGGCACUGGAACUCUGCAGCAAAUGAUCAAGUUCAGAGCAGCUGAACGUUUCUAGCCUUACUACUCAUGAAUGUCCCUCUGCAGACUUCAAAAGCCUGGAAGUCUCAGAAACCUUGUGUUUUCAAUCAAUUUCUUUCCAAAAACAUUUUAACAGAAAUUGGACACUAUUUUCCCUUGCUGGUGUUAAGAGUUGCUCACACAGCUUUCACUUUCUUCUUUGCUGUCAAUCUCUUCCCAGUGGUUCUAUUGAAUUAUUUUAAAUCCUCCUGAUAAAAGGCUAUGAAAACUCA